rnacentral:misc_RNA from 1 species
GAGAAGCUUGGAUUCCAGGUCAUACAUGCAUAUGGUCUCACGGAAACAUAUGGUCCGGGAACUGUCUGCACAUGGAAGCCUGAGUGGGACGUGUUACCCCUUGAGGAACGGUCGAAAUUGAAAUCCCGACAGGGGCUUCACCAUAUCGGGAUGGACAAGGUUGACAUCAAAGAUCCGAUCACUAUGAAGAGUGUUCCAGCUGAUGGGCAGACAAUGGGUGAGGUGAUGUUUCAA